UCUCUCUCUCUCUCUCUCUCUCUCUCUCUCUCUCACAAAACAGUUGAGGGGAAUGUUGUCUGGUUCGAGAUCCUUCACAACUGUAGAGCUUAAGCAUAGUCUGAAUGAUUUCGGACCAGGCUUCAUUCCCCUCAACUAAGAGAAAUAAUUCACUACUUUAUAUACAUAUCAUGCAUUAAUUAAAAUGCAAUGAAUGAGAGCCUCUUGCCUUACUUAUGGUAGUAUUUAUGCAGAAGCUGCAGAUUUUCAAUUGAGGAAAGCAGAGCAGCUAGCCUACCUGUAGCCGAAAUUGACAACCGGAGCAAGCAUCAUCAGUGGGACAGACCUCCUGGAUAUUGACAACUGUAGCUUCUCAAUUGGCUGCUUUGAUAUGAUUUUACUUUGUCGGGGUGGAAAAAGGAAAAAACUUGCACAAGCAGAGCAGUGUAUCCACAAGCUAAGGCGAGAGAAACAAAUGCAAAUGCAAAUGUACAGUUUCAUGAUGUGAGAACGAUAUCAAUGUGUAAGAGUUAUAAUUGUGGUUCGGAUUCUCAUUUUGAAAGAAGGGUUGAAAAAAUGGAAUCCAAGUACUUUUGUUUGUAGGGUUUGAUUGGACUUAAGAGAGAUGAGAAAUAAUAGUGGGGGAUGAAAGAUUACAAAGUGAGAAAAA